rnacentral:rRNA from 1 species
GACGAACGCUGGCGGCGUGCUUAACACAUGCAAGUCGAACGGAAAGGCCCUGCUUUUGUGGGGUGCUCGAGUGGCGAACGGGUGAGUAACACGUGAGUAACCUGCCCUUGACUUUGGGAUAACUUCAGGAAACUGGGGCUAAUACCGGAUAGGAGCUCCUGCUGCAUGGUUGGGGUUGGAAAGUUUCGGCGGUUGGGGAUGGACUCUCGGCUUAUCAGCUUGUUGGUGGGGUAGUGGCUUACCAAGGAUUUGACGGGUAGCCGGCCUGAGAGGGUGACCGGCCACAUUGGGACUGAGAUACGGCCCAGACUCCUACGGGAGGCAGCAGUGGGGAAUAGUGCACAAUGGGCGGAAGCCUGAUGCAGCAACGCCGCGUGCGGGAUGACGGCCUUCGGGUUGUAAACCGCUUUCGCCUGUGACGAAGCGUGAGUGACGGUAAUGGGUAAAGAAGCACCGGCUAACUACGUG